AAAGGCACUGAGCCUUUUGCAGCAGUGACGUCAAAAUAGGGCACCGAUCGUGGUCCCUUGGAUCUAAGCUAUCAAAUGGACAUCUCCUAAUCCUCCAGCAACACAGCGGCGAAAUAAAUAAAGACGGCACCGUCAGACUGGCCCUAAUGUCUUAAAUAAUCAUGGACGAGGUGAAGACUAUGGAGGUCGCUACGAGCAGAGC